GCCGCUGUAGCUCAGUUGGUAGAGCACCCGCCUUGUAAGCGGACGGUCAGGGGUUCGAGUCCCCUCAGCGGCU
rnacentral:tRNA from 1 species